rnacentral:tRNA from 1 species
GCAUCGGUGAUUCAGUGGUAGAAUGCUCGCCUGCCACGCGGGCGGCCCGGGUUCGAUUCCCAGCCGAUGCA